rnacentral:rRNA from 1 species
GACGAACGCUGGCGGCGUGCUUAACACAUGCAAGUCGAACGGUGAACCUCUUCGGAGGGGUUCAGUGGCGAACGGGUGAGUAACACGUGGGCAACCUGCCCCCGGCUCUGGGAUAACUCCAAGAAAUUGGGGCUAAUACCGGAUGUUCACCGCUUCCCGCAUGGGUGGUGGUGGAAAGGGUUUCCGGCUGGGGAUGGGCCCGCGGCCUAUCAGCUUGUUGGUGGGGUAGUGGCCUACCAAGGCGACGACGGGUAGCCGGCCUGAGAGGGUGACCGGCCACACUGGGACUGAGGGACGGCCCAGACUCCUACGGGGGGCAGCAGUGGGGAAUAUUGCGCAAUGGGCGGACGCCUGACGCAGCGACGCCGCGUGGGGGAUGACGGCCUUCGGGUUGUAAACCUCUUUCAGCAGGGACGAAGCGCAAGUGACGGUACCUGCAGAAGAAGCACCGGCCAACUACGUG